ACUUGGUGUCUCCCAGCUCCCAUCUCACGAGGGAAAAGAAAAUCUCAGCCAAGCUACUUGGUGCCUCUCCCGUGAUCCAAGCCGCCCGCGUCCGCAUCUUCAACGCCAUCAUCUCCGCGAUCCCUCUCUUCAAGCCACUUCCUUCUUCUUCCAUCCCGGAACUCCAGCACUCCAGCCAAGCCGUGAUCGGCUCAUCCCCAACCUCCCGCUUCCAAUUCGGCACCCAAAGAAGCAUCCCCAUCUCCUAUUCUUCCGGCCACAGCAGCGAAUUAGCAGGAACCCCCAAGCACCGCGUCCAUGAUCGGCUCCUCCC
rnacentral:lncRNA from 1 species